rnacentral:tRNA from 1 species
GCAGUGAUGGUUCAGGGGUAGAAUUCUUGCUUUCUAUGCAAGAGACUCGAGUUCAAUUUCUGACCAAUGCA